rnacentral:rRNA from 1 species
GAUGAACGCUGGCGGCGUGCUUAACACAUGCAAGUCGAACGAGCCUUCGGGCUAGUGGCGGACGGGUGAGUAACGCGUGGGAAUCUGCCCUCAGGAGGGGGAUAACGGCCGGAAACGGCCGCUAAUACCCCAUAUGCCGAGAGGUGAAAUGAAUUUCGCCUGAGGAUGAGCCCGCGUCUGAUUAGCUAGUUGGUGUGGUAAUGGCGCACCAAGGCGACGAUCAGUAGCUGGUCUGAGAGGAUGAUCAGCCACACUGGGACUGAGACACGGCCCAGACUCCUACGGGAGGCAGCAGUGGGGAAUUUUCCGCAAUGGGCGAAAGCCUGACGGAGCAACGCCGCGUGAGGGAUGAAGGCCUCUGGGCUGUAAACCUCUUUUCUCAAGGAAGAAGACAUGACGGUACUUGAGGAAUAAGCCACGGCUAAUUCCGUGCCAGCAGCCGCGGUAAUACGGGAGUGGCAAGCGUUAUCCGGAAUUAUUGGGCGUAAAGCGUCCGCAGGCGGCUUUGUAAGUCUGUCGUUAAAGCGUGGAGCUUAACUCCAUUUGAGCGAUGGAAACUACAAGGCUUGAGUGUGGUAGGGGCAGAGGGAAUUCCCGGUGUAGCGGUGAAAUGCGUAGAUAUCGGGAAGAACACCAGUGGCGAAGGCGCUCUGCUGGGCCAUAACUGACGCUCAUGGACGAAAGCCAGGGGAGCGAAAGGGAUUAGAUACCCCUGUAGUCCUGGCCGUAAACGAUGAACACUAGGUGUCGGGGGAAUCGACCCCCUCGGUGUCGUAGCUAACGCGUUAAGUGUUCCGCCUGGGGAGUACGCACGCAAGUGUGAAACUCAAAGGAAUUGACGGGGGCCCGCACAAGCGGUGGAGUAUGUGGUUUAAUUCGAUGCAACGCGAAGAACCUUACCAGGGUUUGACAUCCUGCGAAUCCCUUGGAAACGAGGGAGUGCCUUCGGGAGCGCAGAGACAGGUGGUGCAUGGCUGUCGUCAGCUCGUGUCGUGAGAUGUUGGGUUAAGUCCCGCAACGAGCGCAACCCACGUCUUUAGUUGCCAGCAUUCAGUUGGGCACUCUAGAGAGACCGCCGGUGAUAAACCGGAGGAAGGUGUGGAUGACGUCAAGUCAUCAUGCCCCUUACAUCCUGGGCUACACACGUACUACAAUGCUACGGACAAAGGGUUGCAAGCUCGCGAGAGUUAGCUAAUCCCAUAAACCGUGGCUCAGUUCAGAUCGUAGGCUGCAACUCGCCUACGUGAAGGAGGAAUCGCUAGUAAUCGCAGGUCAGCAUACUGCGGUGAAUACGUUCCCGGGCCUUGUACACACCGCCCGUCACACCAUGGAAGUUGGCCAUGCCCGAAGUCGUUACUCCAACCCUUGUGGAGGAGGACGCCGAAGGUGGGGCUGAUGACUGGGGUGAAGUCGUAACAAGGUAGCCGUACCGGAAGGUGCGGCUGGAUCACCUCCUAA